rnacentral:rRNA from 1 species
GACGAACGCUGGCGGCGUGCUUAACACAUGCAAGUCGAACGGAAAGGCCCUGCUUUUGGGGGGUGCUCGAGUGGCGAACGGGUGAGUAACACGUGAGUAACCUGCCCUUGACUUUGGGAUAACUUCAGGAAACUGGGGCUAAUACCGGAUAGGAGCUCCUGCUGCAUGGUGGGGGUUGGAAAGUUUCGGCGUUUGGGGAUGGACUCGCGGCUUAUCAGCUUGUUGGUGGGGUAGUGGCUUACCAAGGCUUUGACGGGUAGCCGGCCUGAGAGGGUGACCGGCCACAUUGGGACUGAGGUACGGCCGAGACGCCUACGGGAGGCAGCAGUGGGGAAUAUUGCACAAUGGACAGCGGCCUGAUGCAGCAACGCCGCGUGCGGGAUGGCGGCCUUCGGGUUGUAGACCGCUUUCGCCUGUAACGAAGCGUGAGUGACGGGAAUGGGUAGAGAAGCACCGGCUAACUACGUG